UACGUAGGUGGCGAGCGUUGUCCGGAUUUACUGGGCGUAAAGAGCGCGCAGGCGGUCGUUCAAGUCGGUUGUGAAAGCCCCCGGCUCAACUGGGGAGGGUCAUUCGAUACUGAUCGACUCGAAGGCAGGAGAGGGAAGCGGAAUUCCCGGUGUAGUGGUGAAAUGCGUAGAUAUCGGGAGGAACACCAGUGGCGAAGGCGGCUUCCUGGCCUGUUCUUGACGCUGAGGCGCGAAAGCUAGGGGAGCAAACGGG
rnacentral:rRNA from 1 species